AGAUUAGCAAGAAGCCCUGCAGUUACUGGAGCGUAGCGAAGGGUUUUGAGCAGGGGAUCAGCACCUGCUUUUCGGCUUUCAUUGGAGUUUCUCUUCAGCCAUCAGAAGAGUAAAGGAAAACCAGAAACUGCCAUCAGAAUGAGCAGCAUGAUUAUACAUCAGUAACAAGCAAAUCGCUUGUCAAAAAGGGGACCCUUCACUUAAUGCUGCUCCUUUGAAAUAAAAGUAUCUCCAACAGCUCUGAAGUUCAAGGAUAUGUUCUCAGUUGGUGUGAGCACCGAGCAGACCAGGAGCUAAGGACUUUUAUGAUUGAUAGACCAAACGUACCACCAUCUGAAGGGUAUAGCUCAGUAGCCAUUUUCAGAGCAUGACUACAGGAAAAGACCCUGAACUGCUGCAACUGUUCAUCUCAGAUUAUGUGAUAGGAAGAAGAAAAAGAAGAGGAAGAAAGAUAGGAAGAAGAAAAAACAUCAAAACAACAAAUAAAACCUACCCUAGCUUUCCUCAUAUUGACCAAAUUAGGAUUCUUUUUCUGUGUCACGUAACAUUUAUCUUUUUAUAGAGCAGUGACAAUUAUAUGGCUUUUCCUUUGUCUCGUCUUGGCUAUACUGCGGUGAUUUGCAACAAAACUGAUGUUUAUAUAUUCAUUUUCACUCCAAGAGCAGGCUGCUGCUGUGUCUGAAAGAAACGUUUAAACUUCUCGUUUGUCAUUUUUCUAUUGUUUUUGGUUGGAUUUUUUUAUUUUUUUAUUUUUUGCUUUUUGGUGUUUUUUUUCCUAUGUCUCUUUUGUUGUUGUCUGUCAUAUUGGCUCCCUACUUCAGUAUUUAUUAUUCUUUACACUUUUUUUUUUCCCUACAGCACAGCAUUUCAUCUCAGAUGACUGUUUGACCACAGUGUUUCUCUGUAAAAGACGCAUGUAGCAGUUUUGAAAAGUCUACUUAGGUCUUACCACCUAUUUUAUCAGCUAAAAUGCUGAAGGUUAUGCUUAGAUUUCAUAUAUAUAUAUAUAUAUCCACUCAAUAUGUCUUCCUUUAUUUUUAGUGAUAGAAUUAAAUGUAAUAAAAAGGUAAUACUGAGAUGAUUUGUUGAACCAAGUGUUCAAAGUGCCUAUGGCCAAAAUACUAAAUCAUCACCUCCUUUGGUUAAGGGAAGUAACAUAUAUGACAAACUGAAAAGUCAGAUCAUUUGGAAGUAAAAAAGUACCUAAAUUUUUGCUGAAAUGUAUAAGAUACAGAUAUUACUUAAAAUGUUUAUGUGUGCAUACUCUAUACAUACUUUGAUUAUAUAUCUGCAUGUGUGUGUGUAUAUACAUGUAUAUGCUGAAACAUCUUGUCUGUGUGCGUAUGCAUAUGCGUGUGUGUGCAUUCUCAUGCAGGGUGAGCAUAUUUUGGCAAAUUUUGUGACUGUUUGAAAAACAUAGACUGCAGUUCAUGUACAUAAAUCCACCAUCUGAGAUACAUGUUUUAUUUGAUUUUAGCAAAAAGCAGAUUCUGAGCUGCGUGUUCUUUUUCUUAGCAGGAAUUCAUUUUCUAGUAGUUUUCCAGUCUUCAAAACAUGGGAUCCAAUUCAUUUUACACAUAUUUUAAUUUCAGUUCAAAUUGGGAAAAAAAAGUUCAAAAGUAAAGACAUUUUCUGCUGAACUUGAAAUAAAACUUUUGAAGACACAAAUUUCUAGGACAUACAUCAUUACAAGCCUCUUCCUUUUGCUUUCUUUCUUUUUUUUUUUUUUCUUUUUUUUUUUUUUUGAUAAUAGUAUACAAGCACAAGAACAGUAUAUAACCAGAAACCCUUAGGAAAAACAUGUAUUUCUAUUACAAGCAGUUGGACUUUCCUCAUAAGAAACAGUUUGGAAAUAUUGCUCAGCUGCGUUUGAAAUGUAUUGAUGAGAUAAUGUAUGUCAACUGAUUCUGAGGAAUAUAUGCAAGUUACCAAAUGCUUGUUUUGUUACUAGAAAACCUCAUUAGCAAAGGAAUAAAAUAGCUCAUAAGUGAAUC
ensembl:lncRNA